AUUUAAAUAGUUUAUUAAAAUAAUAGUUUGUGGAGCUAUAGAUGUAAGAAGUUACUUUAAAUA
rnacentral:tRNA from 1 species